rnacentral:rRNA from 10 species
GCUUACGGCCAUACCAACUUAGGCACGCACGAUCUCGUCUGAUCUCGGAAGCUAAGCAGGGUCGGCCUGGUUAGUACUUGGAUGGGUGACCGCCUGGGAAUACCAGGUGCUGUAAGCA